GCCAAGGGCCAGAUAUCGAAGUUGGAGUUCCCGAAGAUCGUCGGAGGAGAAUUUUAAGUAGCAGAUGAAAUACAACAGAGUUAUGACGGCGCGUGAAGCCUUUUCUUGUCUCUCUCAGCUUCAGCCGGAGCUAAUCUGAGGAUGACAGCAACAACAACAACAAAAACUGAGAAGAGUAGGAGAGACCUGAGUUUGUGGCCUACCCCAUCUCAGAUCAGGUCUAAGCCCUCUCCCUGGGAAUAUGGUAACUAUACACUAUUUCAUAAUCCUCAUGUGAAUCUGCUUCCAACUGGCUAUGAAGAUGAAUAAAGAGAACCUGGACCACUACCUAGUGGGGACCACAGCACUGAUUUGGACCAUUACUCUGCACAUGGACCAGAAAAGUGUGUUGCAUUUCUUUUUUAAAAAUUUUUUUAAGAAUCUUUUCUUUUUGGUACCAAUGGAGAGUCACAUUCUACUUAAAAAUCCACGAGACAUUUUUAAAAAAGAUACAACCAAGAAAAAGAAAGGAGACACAGAUGAAGGAGAACUACUAAGAGGCUCUGAGGCAAAACCCUCCAACCAGCAAAAGAUUACAACUCGCUUUAUUGUGAUACUUGUUUGAUUACAGUGGUCUGGAACCAAACCUGCAAUAUAUCAAGUUCAGGGUCACAGGUGGUCAGAGCCUCUCUCAGCAGCUCAGGGCACUGCAAGGAUGCCUUUCCAUCAAAGAGUGCAUCACGCCCACACCCACGCUCACCCAUACAACUUAGACAUGCCAGUUGACCUCUCGUGGACAUCUUUGGGAUGUGGGAGGAAACUUAAGAGUCCUGAGUGAAAACCCACACAGACAUGGGGAGAACUGUGCCAACUCCACACAGACAGUGGCCCCCACUCUGGGAAUUUUUCUCAUUAACAUUAUAAGGAAAAGAGGAAAUGACCUUGGAGGAAAUGACA